rnacentral:rRNA from 1 species
GACGAACGCUGGCGGCGUGCUUAACACAUGCAAGUCGAACGAAGAGCGAUGGAAGCUUGCUUCUAUCAAUCUUAGUGGCGAACGGGUGGGUAACGCGUAAUCAACCUGCCCUUCAGAGGGGGACAACAGUUGGAAACGACUGCUAAUACCGCAUACGAUCUAACCUCGGCAUCGAGGAUAGAUGAAAGGUGGCCUCUACAUGUAAGCUAUCACUGAAGGAGGGGAUUGCGUCUGAUUAGCUAGUUGGAGGGGUAACGGCCCACCAAGGCGAUGAUCAGUAGCCGGUCUGAGAGGAUGAACGGCCACAUUGGGACUGAGACACGGCCCAGACUCCUACGGGAGGCAGCAGUGGGGAAUCUUCCGCAAUGGACGAAAGUCUGACGGAGCAACGCCGCGUGAGUGAUGACGGCCUUCGGGUUGUAAAGCUCUGUUAAUCGGGACGAAAGGCCUUCUUGCGAAUAGUUAGAAGGAUUGACGGUACCGGAAUAGAAAGCCACGGCUAACUACGUG